rnacentral:lncRNA from 1 species
AGUAGCCGUAAUAGCAUGAUGGAAGCUGGACAUCAGCAGUGAAGAGGAAAAAUGGAAAAAGAAUCAAGUAUGUUAAUAUUCUUCUUCUGAAGGUGGGGAGGGGUAUUGAAGUUAUCUUGCUAUUUGGAGACAGAUAUAAGCUUGCUUUAAGAAGCACAAAUAUGAUUUAAUUAACAGUCAUGUUUUUGCAUUGCAUAUCACUUCAAGGAUUUGUAUAUUAUUGUCACUUGGUGAUUGAAGAAAUAGCUUUACAUUUGAGCUCUGAUAAAUAAUAAAAAAGUACAAGUAAGAAAGACAGAUUUUAAAGUCUAUAGCA